rnacentral:rRNA from 1 species
AGAGUUUGAUCAUGGCUCAGAUUGAACGCUGGCGGAAUGCUUUACACAUGCAAGUCGAACGGCAGCACGGGUGCUUGCACCUGGUGGCGAGUGGCGAACGGGUGAGUAAUGCGUCGGAACGUGCCGAGUAAUGGGGGAUAACGCAGCGAAAGCUGUGCUAAUACCGCAUACGCCCUGAGGGGGAAAGUGGGGGAUCGCAAGACCUCACGUUAUUCGAGCGGCCGACGUCUGAUUAGCUAGUUGGUGGGGUAAAGGCCUACCAAGGCGACGAUCAGUAGCGGGUCUGAGAGGAUGAUCCGCCACACUGGGACUGAGACACGGCCCAGACUCCUACGGGAGGCAGCAGUGGGGAAUUUUGGACAAUGGGGGCAACCCUGAUCCAGCCAUUCCGCGUGAGUGAAGAAGGCCUUCGGGUUGUAAAGCUCUUUCAGCCGGAACGAAACGGUAGAGGCUAAUACUCCCUGCUAAUGACGGUACCGGCAGAAGAAGCACCGGCUAACUACGUGCCAGCAGCCGCGGUAAUACGUAGGGUGCGAGCGUUAAUCGGAAUUACUGGGCGUAAAGCGUGCGCAGGCGGAUUGUUAAGCAAGAUGUGAAAGCCCCGGGCUUAACCUGGGAAUGGCAUUUUGAACUGGCAGUCUAGAGUGCGUCAGAGGGGGGUGGAAUUCCACGUGUAGCAGUGAAAUGCGUAGAGAUGUGGAGGAACACCGAUGGCGAAGGCAGCCCCCUGGGAUGACACUGACGCUCAUGUACGAAAGCGUGGGUAGCAAACAGGAUUAGAUACCCUAGUAGUCC